AAUAAUACUACCGAAGGACGUUAUCGUAAAAAAUUAUCAGUUGGAAAAUAUAUCUGUCAAGUAGAAGUAUAAUAUUACCUGUCUACAAAAUGGAGCUUAUACCAUUAAAAAAGUCAUUAUUACCUGAGGGAUCUUAUCAAUAUACCAUGCAGAAUAGUUACAUUAUCGAGCCUCAGAAUGAUCCAAUAUUCGCAACAGCAUCUCAUGUGCAUCAGGAGGAAAUGCAGAAUAAUAAGAGAGCAAAUGAAAACACCUGUUUGACACCCAAUAACAAUCAGACGUACUUUGCUGAUGAAAAAGUUCACAUACCAGAAACAGAAAAUGGUUUCUUUAGUUUUAGAAAAUUAUGGGCUUUCACAGGUCCUGGAUUCUUAAUGUCCAUAGCUUAUUUAGAUCCUGGAAAUAUUGAAUCUGAUUUGCAAUCUGGCGUAGCUGCCAAAUAUAAGUUAUUAUGGGUAUUGUUAAGUGCAACCAUUCUUGGCCUUAUUAUGCAAAGAUUAAGUGCAAGGCUUGGUGUGGUAACAGGUUUGCAUUUGGCAGAAAUGUGUUACAGACAAUAUAAAAAGGUACCCAGAAUGAUUUUAUGGAUAAUGAUAGAAAUAGCCAUAAUUGGCAGUGACAUGCAAGAAGUAAUAGGGACAGCUAUUGCUUUAUCUUUAUUAACAAAUAAAGCGAUUCCUAUAUGGGGUGGUGUUCUUAUUACGAUAAUUGACACUUUUACAUUUUUAUUAUUGGACAAAUAUGGCUUAAGGAAAUUAGAACUCUUUUUUGGAUUUCUUAUUACAGUAAUGGCUGUCACAUUUGGAUAUGAGUACGUUGUUUCUGCCCCACCUCAAAAUGAAGUGAUAAGUGGAAUAUUUAUACCUUGGUAUAAAGAUUAUGAUAGAAAUAUGUUGUUACAAGCUGUAGGAAUUGUUGGUGCAGUUAUCAUGCCACAUAACUUAUAUCUUCACAGUGCUCUUGUUAAAUCAAGAGACAUUGACCGUAAAGAAUCCAAAAAAGUGAAUGAGGCAAAUAUGUAUUACUUCAUUGAGGCAUGCAUUGCACUUCUGGUAUCUUUUAUAAUUAACGUAUUUGUUGUCGCGGUGUUUGCGGAUGGUCUUUUUAACAAGACUAAUUUAGAAGUUUACAAUCUGUGUGAGGCUAACAAUUAUACAGUAGGAAUGGAUACAUUUGAGAAAGAUAAUACAACCAUCUCAGUAGACCUUAACAAAGGUGGCAUAUUUUUGGGCUGUGCCUUUGGUGCAGCAGCAAUGUAUAUUUGGGCUGUCGGUAUUUUUGCUGCUGGCCAAUCUUCCACGAUGACAGGAACGUAUGCCGGACAAUUUGCAAUGGAAGGAUUUUUAAAUCUUCAGUGGGCUCGUUGGAAGCGAGUACUUUUCACGCGAAUGAUCGCUAUCAUUCCAACCUUCCUUGUCGCAUUCUUUAGUGACAUUGAUAAUUUAACUGACAUGAAUAAUAUUUUGAACGCAAUUAUGACUCUUCAGUUACCUUUUGCAACACUGCCAACGAUAGCAUUUACUAGUAGUCCUAAAAUUAUGGGUACAUUUCGAAAUGGAUUAACUAGUAAAAUUGUGACGACAACAUUAUCUGCUGUUGUAAUAGCUAUAAAUAUAUAUUUUGUAAUAGAUACUGUCCAAGAUUUGCCACAUCACUGGGCGGUAAUAGUUGCAAUUACAAUAUAUUCUAUUUUAUAUCUUCUAUUUUGUCUUUAUUUAACCAUUCAUAUGGCUGUGAGUAUGGGCGCAACUUCUCUUGGUAACCAUUGGUUCGUAAAAAGAUAUAUUGGAAGUCCUGUAAGUACAACACUUGGAUUAUCAAACCCUGCAAUAUAUGCAAGCUUCUUCAAUACGUCAGAAACAUCAUUAAGACCAUAAUCGAGUUUACAUCAUGAAUCUGCAUCUAACUACUUAAAACCAUAUUUCAAAAGUUGCGUCUUCAUCUGUCUUCAACUUUAUACAUGGUCUAAUCCGGCAUUUAACAUCCAAGAAAAUUGGUCUGGAAGCUUUAACUCGAUACCGGAAUACUGAUAAAAAUCUGACGCAAAUAAAACAUGGUAAAUAGUAUUCAAUACUCAUGGGUUGCAUUCUCAUAGAGUUAGCAUCAUAGAUUUUAAGAUUUUAUAGAAUUGAAAAUGAUAACUUCCUAUAAAAUAUACUCCCCCAAUUUUUUUGUAAAGUUAGGGCUUUAACAUGUAAAAUAAGCAAAGCGCGUUAAUAACAGAAAAAUACGUGAUGAUCGUAUAUUUGUAUAUAUAUAUAUAUAUAUAUAUAUGUAUAUAAAUUUUAUUAAAUAAAUUAAAGUCAUAUAAAUUGUAUAUAAAAGAGGCUUGUACAAAAUAUAAUAAAAAUUUAAAAUUAUAUUAUGUAAAUGAUAUGUAAACUAUAGGGAUUAUGUUAUCUAAAAUAGAGAAUUAAUAAAAGUGGUAAACUGAUGAUUAAAAUAUGUAAAUAUGUAAAGUCCACUGAUGCUGUUUAUAUUUUAUGUGUAUUUGUACUACUAUUUAAGGACAGUCAUUUAUAUGUGUGUUUUGCAAUUGUAUCUGUUUAAUACUUACACGUAUACGACAUUGAUACGAGAAUCAGUUGUUAAAUAUCCGCUGUUGAGAACGGGCAACACGCGCUAUGUAAAAGCAAGUAUGAGAUAUUCUUAUAUUUCAUGUUAUGACCUACAAAUUAUCUAGAGGAAGAUAUGUAUUCGUUUAAAAUACUAGUAAACGAUCGUGUUUGUUU